rnacentral:rRNA from 1 species
AUGGCCAUCUUCGAUGAGUUCUACGUUGGCUCCAUCGACCUUGGGCGCCUCAACUAUGGGAUCAUCUCGCUCAUCCCCAAAGUGUCUGCAUCCGACAUCCGCCAGUUCCGACCGAUCACGGUUAUCAACGUGAUCUUCCGGAUCCUGGCUAAAGGGUUCGCCAAUAGGGUGACCCUGCUCGCCGACCACAUUACCCACCCUAACCAGAUCGCCUGCAUCCAAGGGCGGUAUAUUCUGGAUGGGGUGUUGGUCCUCAACGAAGUCCUCCAUGGGGUUUGGUCUAAACACCUCAGGGCGGUCUUCCUUAAGAUUGAUUUCCAUAAGGCGUAUGACACUAUCAGCUGGCCCUUCCUUCAGGAAGUUUUG